GUGUUGUAUGAAAGGAGAGAAGGUUAGCACUCCCCCUUGAUAAGGAUGGAAGAGGCCCUU
rnacentral:snRNA from 14 species